AAUCCGCCUGCUGCUCAGGGCCCUCCUCAGGGUGCCCAGCUCUCCACCAGCGGCUCCAUCGUCGGCUUGGGACGCAGAUGGCCUCAGAGGUCACCACCGGGGAGCGCAGGGAGGGGUCCACUGAGUGUCCAGGUCCUUGGGGGCCGCUCAGGGCUCGGCUGCCCUUCAUUCCCCCGCUGUGCUCACACACCCAGUGCUCACCCGCUGCAUCAGAACCCUGCUCCGCAGGAUACGGCCCUGCCGUCCUGCGGACGCUGCGUCCCCAGCGCCCACAGCAGAAACCGAGGGUUGUUGGUGCCGCGGUGGUCGAUGUCAUGGCACAGGCCGGCUGUCACCAUGGCGAAGGCCUCCAGAACAGGAACCGCACCAGGACCUGGGGGAGCCGAGAGGACACAGGGCUCCGGCGGCAAGCGUGUAAGUCCCGCCAGAGCGGCACCUGUGGCUGACUUCACAGUGGAAGCCCUGCUCCGUGCCAUCAUCCCCACACCGUCUCCUGGACUUCCCGAUCUUCCCCAUCCCUGCGUUUCCCACUGGCCUCUGCUGGCCUUCCUGGGUAGGGGCUGCCACAUUGGCACCUAUGGGGUGGAGCCAGGUAGGGCAGGAGCUGAGAACAGCCCCAGCCUUCAGGGGCCGCCCAGCCUCCAUCCGACUGCCUGGCCUCAAGCUGGGAGGAGGACCCCUGGGGAUGCAGCAUAUUUUAAGAUGUUGGUUUUAGGCAUGGACAUUUGAAUGAGCAGAAUGUGUGGGCUGCAGGCUGGGGUGGGAGAACCGAUGUCCGCAGGGCAAGAGAAUGCUGGUCUCUCUUGCCCUGCGGACAUCGCCAGGAGGCUCUUCCUGCGGCCAUUGUGAUUUUUAGGGUCAGAAAAUUAUUUGGAAAUAUUUUUUAUUCUGCAAAUAUUUUCUAUACAUUUUUUCUUGAGUGUUUUCCCUUAGUAUUUAGUAAAACUUCUUUUGAAAAUGCUGGCCUGCUGCACCUGUUCUCAGAGGGGCAUGAGAAAAGAGGAUUCUCUUCCUAGGGCUGUGGGAAGCCCCUUGAGAUGUUGGAAGCAGGGCAGGGCAGGAGAACCCAGGGAGGGCACAGAGCUGUGGACGAGGGCUGGGAAAGCCAUCCCGCCUCCCCAGGGGGUCUCCGAGGAGUGCUGCUGUGGCCAAACCAGGGGGGCCACUUUGUGCUUUCUGUUUAGGUGAUGGGAUGCUUCUAUCUCCUCAGCACCCCACACCAAAUCCCCUGUUAUUGCCAGAUGAUGUGCCUAAUGAUCAAAUUGCUUGGAACUCCUAAUAAUAAAACUUUAAAUCUAUCCAUUC
rnacentral:lncRNA from 1 species